rnacentral:misc_RNA from 1 species
GAUGAAGAACGUAGCGAAAUGCGAUACGUAAUGUGAAUUGCAGAAUUCAGUGAAUCAUCGAAUCUUUGAACGCAUAUUGCGCUCUCUGGUAUUCCGGAGAGCAUGCUUGUUUGAGUAUCAGUAAACACCUCAACUCCCUUUUCUUUUUUGAAAUUGGAGCUGGACUUGAGUGAUCCCAACGCUUUCUUCCAAGAAAGUGGCGGGUUGCUUGAAAUGCAGGUGCAGCUGAACUUCUCUCUGAGCUAUAAGCAUAUCUAUUUAGUCUGCCUAAAAAACAGAUUAUUACCUUUGCUGCAGCUAACAUAAAGGAGACUAGUUCUUGUGCUGACUGAUGCAGGAUUCACAGAGACAGCUUCGGCUGACUUUGUAAACUCGAUCUCAAAUCAAGUAAGACUACCCGCUGAACUUAAGCAUAUCAAUAAGCGGAGGA